GGAUAUCCACGGCGCCAUCACUAAUAUAAUAACCUCCAGUAGUUUGAAUGUAACGCUGCCCGAGUACCAAGACAGGAUCACCCUCUUCCGCAACACAGGAUCUCUGGAGCUGAGGAACGUGACAAUGAGAGACGCUGGAGAUUACAGAGUCACCAUCAUAGCUGCUGGUGGAUCUCAGCAGAGAGGGAACUGUAAACUGGACGUACAUGGUUGUUUGACCAGCCAUCCAUGCAAGACGCUGCAUCGCCACCCUGUGAAUCCGCUUUCCGCCCCAACCACAAGCUCUGCCAUAUGACUUCUGCCUGUACCUGUGGCUGUUUAUCUAGCCUUCUGCCUCUGAAUUUGAGUUCUGCCGUAGCAUGUUUGUUUGCCGGGCCCCAUAGCUAUUGGGGAUUCUACUACAAAGACAACCAAGUGUGAGUUACACUGUCCUGCUCUCUGUGAAUUGUGGAUUAAGACAACAGUGAAGUAAAUCCCCGACUGCGACUACUCGAAGGCCGUUGGAAUUGCUGCCGCCAUCACAGGCGGGCGCUGUAUUCUCAUCGCCGUAGUGAUCGGAUUGAUUGCAUGGGUUCUCAGAAGAAGGAAAAGACUCAGCAGCGGAUAUCCAACGCUCAAAAGAGAGAGAAAGAGUGUGAGGGUGAAGCACUCGGACAUGUAUAAGAUCUCAGGUAGAACUCACAGUGACCAUUAGGCUGCUUCGUUCACGAGGAAAAGGAAUGAUGAAGCACAACUAAGAAGUCCUCCACAUCAAAACUUCAGUCUUGUUUUUAUUUAUUAAUACACAACAACUCAAUGCCUUUUAUUUUAUUUUUUUUACUGUGAUUUUAGUUGUAUUGUUCUCGUGGCACCACGGUGGACGAGUGUCACAGUUCAGUUCUGAGGUUCUGGGCUCUAUUCCCAUCGAUGGCGUAGCUGCUGUCAAGCGUAAAAAACGAGCGUAUCUUGAUUUUUGCGCAACCGCCAGAUCGCUGCACCUUUUUACCAAUUUGGCAGACCGGUCUGCACCAAGCUGAGCGUGUCGGUGCAGCGAGGGUGUGCCCUUGGAGAUGCGCUUAGCGGAGUGAGAGUUUGUUGUCAGAAAGCCCGUCUCCACUUACGCCUGCCGGGACCACAUCUAAGUUUUGGCACAGGUGAUCGAACGUGAUUUUGGUCUGUCUUAUAUUGCCGCCAGGUGGCCAAGGCGCACACAGCAGAAUGAGCAGCACAAUGUGCAACAGGCUCGUUUAUUCAAUAAUGUCCGUGUGUGAAAAAUAGCGAUAAUUACACGAACAUGUAAUGGAAAUAAGCAUUUAUUGACUCAUUUACUAAGUGAGGGGUGGCCACUAUUUUGAGGGAUGUGAUAAUAUAUAAGAGAGUGUGUACAAAAAUGUCCCACAGUGUCCUCUGUUUUGUACUUACUGUAUUUGUUAAUAUAUUAAACACGUAUUACCUGCAUGUUAUUUUAUUUUGGUAAUCUUAUCCAUCAUGACCAGGUGACAAUAAAAUGAUAAUCAAU